GACGAACGCUGGCGGCGUGCCUAAUACAUGCAAGUAGAACGCACAGUUUAUACCGUAGCUUGCUACACCAUAGACUGUGAGUUGCGAACGGGUGAGUAAUGCGUAGGUAACCUGCCUGGUAUCGGGGGAUAACUACUGGAAACGAUAGCUAAUACCGCAUAAUAUUAAUUAUUGCAUGAUAAUUAAUUGAAAGGUGCAAUUGCACCACUACCAGAUGGACCUGCGUUGUAUUAGCUAGUAGGUGAGGUAACGGCUCAACUAGGCGAAGAUACAUAGCCGACCCGGGAGGGUGGUCGGCCAACCCGGGAACGGGACACGGCCCAGAAUCCUUCGGGAGGCAGCAGUAGGGGAUCUUCGGCCAUGGGCGGAAGUCUGACCGAGCAACGCCGGGGGGGGGAAGGAGGUUCUCGGGUCGUAAAGCUCUGUUGUAAGGGAAGAACGGGUGGGAGAGUGGAAAGUUCACACUGUGACGGUAUCUUACCAGAAAGGGACGGCUAACUACGUG
rnacentral:rRNA from 1 species